UAGUCCACGCAGUAAACGAUGAGUGCUAGUUGUCGGGAUUUUUCUCGGUGGCGAAGCUAACGCGUUAAGCACUCCGCCUGGGGAGUACGGCCGCAAGGCUAAAACUCAAAGGAAUUGACGGGGACCCGCACAAGCAGUGGAGCAUGUGGUUUAAUUCGAUGCAACCCGAAGAACCUUACCUGGGUUUGACAUCAUGGGUCUAGCUGUGGAAACACAGUGUGCUUACGCGCCCAUGACAGGUGGUGCAUGGCUGUCGUCAGCUCGUGUCGUGAGAUGUUGGGUUAAGUCCCGCAACGAGCGCAACCCUUGUCCUAUGUUGCCAGCACGUAAUGGUGGGGACUCAUAGGAGACUGCCGGGGACAACUCGGAGGAAGGCGAGGACGAUGUCAAGUCAUCAUGCCCCUUAUAUCCAGGGCUGCACGCAUGCUACAAUGGGCGAGUACAAUGGGACUGCGAUCCCGCAGGGUCAGCCAAUCCCUUAAAGUCGU
rnacentral:rRNA from 1 species